AUGGUGAGGAAGUACCAGAGGCGAUCGUCAAACAGUAUGCCAACUAUUGCCAACUAGCGACUACCUGUCCGGCGAAGUGGACAGUGUGCCACUUCUGUAUCUUUGAGAUUCAGAGCUCUGGGAGCUUCACUGUCCUUACCUCCGAUAUGUACGUCCACUGCCAUCAUUAUCAUAAUGUAAGGCGGGACUGGUGUUCGUUGCAACGAGACCGGCUGCAGAGUGAGAGCACGUGCAGGCCGUGACCAGGCCCUACACGAACAUUUUUGCCACAGGCUCAUUCCAGGUUGGUGGAAGAAGUAUCUCUGACGGACCAGAGGCAGGAAUGGUAUCAAAAGAUAGCAGUCGUGGGUCAAAGGCCGGCUGAGGAGUGUGACCGCAUUGAAGGGAAAUACUUGCAAUCAUGUUUUGCCAUCUUACAUUUGCCACGAAAAUUAGUAUAGAACUCCUAACACUGUUGCUGGGCUCAUGUUGAGCAGAAACAUGCUCCACAACCAUGUGAUUGACAUGUCUGGUUUAUCUGGAACCAGUUCAAUAGUAUCCGGGCUGUGGAUUUGAAUAUGUAAAUUGUUCUGUAUCUCAUCUUGACAAUCCAAUCAAGCUUUGAAGGUCUCUCUUUUUUCCUUGCAUGCUUGGUAUUAUCCGAAGAGUUACAAUAUCUGUGUGAGGCAUCUUU